CUCGAUUCAGAAACAGUAUUUAGCAUUCAAUGUUCAGGCCAUUAUAUUAUUACUCACAAAAAGUGUAAAGCCAUAUGAAGGACGUGGUUCCUUCCAAAAUUGUCGGAUGAAAUAGCAUAUUGUACUUUGAUCAUAAAUAAUAAUCAGUGCUCACGUUGCAUUCAUUGCUCCAAGUGUCAGAAACAUUUCUUCGCCUGAACAGAAG
rnacentral:lncRNA from 1 species